CCUACGGGAGGCAGCAGUAGGGAAUAUUGGGCAAUGGAGGCAACUCUGACCCAGCCAUGCCGCGUGCAGGAAGAAGGCGUUAUGCGUUGUAAACUGCUUUUAUAUAGGAAGAAAUAGUCCUUGCGAGGAAAGUUGACGGUACUAUAUGAAUAAGCACCGGCUAACUCCGUGCCAGCAGCCGCGGUAAUACGGAGGGUGCAAGCGUUGUCCGGAUUUAUUGGGUUUAAAGGGUGCGUAGGCGGUUUAUUAAGUCAGUGGUGAAAGACGGUCGCUCAACGAUUGCAGUGCCAUUGAUACUGGUAGACUUGAGUGGGAUUGAGGUAGCUGGAAUGGAUAGUGUAGCGGUGAAAUGCAUAGAUAUUAUCCAGAACACCAAUUGCGUAGGCAAGUUACUAAGUCUCAACUGACGCUGAGGCACGAAAGUGUGGGUAUCAAACAGGAUUAGAUACCCUGGUAGUCCACACUGUAAACGAUGAUAACUAACUGUUGGCUUUCGGGUCAGUGGUACAGAGAAAUCGUUAAGUUAUCCACCUGGGGAGUACGCCGGCAACGGUGAAACUCAAAGGAAUUGACGG
rnacentral:rRNA from 1 species